GAAGAAAGACCGCUACUGUCAAAAUACAAACCUCCUUCCACUAAAACUCUCUCUCUGCAGUAAUCUUUCGAUCCCGUUUCUGGGCAAUGGAGAAACCACCGGAAAAAGUGAAGAAAUGGCCCAGAGACCAAACCGGUUUCGAAACCGAUCAAAGCCGGUCGGGAGAAUCACUCGUUUCCUGAAGAAAGGCUCAAAGACUCGCUCCCGGUUUACAUGGCCGCCGUCCUCCACGCUGCUGAAGAAAGAUUGCUGCCAGAGACAAACAAGAAGUCGACGAUCAUUCCCAGGCAUCUUCUUUUGGCGAUUAGGAAGUAGGAACUAUGAAGAGUUUGGGGAAAGUUUU